AGGGAGAUUCUUUACCAGCUGAGCCACAAGGGAAACCCAAGAAUACUGGAGUGGGUAGCUUAUCUCUUCACCAGCAGAUCUUCCUGACCCAGGAAUUGAACCAGAGUCUCCUGCAUUGCAGGUAGAUUUUUUACCAGCUGAGCUACCGGGGAAGGCCAUAGAUGGGCUAUCUGGGGCUGAACUGAAGCAAGCUCUUGGUAACUGUGAUUACACAGGAAAACGUGAGCAAUUGCUGCCUGACUAAAAAAAGUAAAUACACAACAUAGAAACAAGAGGAAAUGAGUUUCCCAGGUUAUUUGGGGAGAGGAUAUCUGGUCAACCCUUUA
rnacentral:lncRNA from 1 species